AGGCCAAAGGUACCUGAGAACUUUAUCAGAACAGGCUGCAUCUGCAGAGGCUGAGAGUGGAGCCCAAACUGGCCACCCAGGAUUGCUGGGUGGGUCAAGCUGAACAUCCAGGGAGCAGCACAAUUAUCCCAGGCUCUCUUCCUGGUCCCGUCGAAAGACCCAGAGACUGGACUCCAAUCUCCAUUAAGAGUUAGAAAAUGCUUUUGUGCCCAGCUCCUACUUAACCCACCAUAUCCCUCCACAGGGAAACACCGGCAAGGAAGUAACCUGGGAACGUUGCCACAAGCAGACUGACAACAGCCGUGCAUACACAGCUUAGAAACAGUGGGGUGUCAACAUCUCCGUGGUGAAGCUGAGCUCCACGUGGAACUGAAUGGAAAUAGAAGAGAGGCUGGCUGGAGGUGGGAGAACCCACUCCUCUCGAGUUUGUCAGAGAAGACAAUUGGUCCUGAAGGGGAAAAAAAAGCAAUCCUUAGCAUGGCAAAACAACAAUGUACUGUCUCCUAUUACAGGAGUGCCUUUUAUUGUCCCCAUAAAAGGCAUUUGGGUUCUGCACCGACAAGCAAAGAAUUAACGUAUAAUAUGAUCGGUCACCGACUUCCUCUUCUCUUGGGUCAUCUCCCUCAACGAGUUUGUCAUCUACCUUCAGAUGCUUCCUUUGUCCAGUGGUCCCUAGAAUGUUGUCCUGUUCAGGAGCAGCAGAACAGAAGCCAUCUGGAACUUCAUUCAUUUG